UCCCAUUACAUUUGCAGCCAAUAAAACCCAUUUCAAACCCUAAAAAAAAACUCUCCUCUGCCAUUUUUCAAUCACGCCGUUGCCCUCCUUUUGCCCUUUCAAAUCUGUUCCCAGCCGGCCACAAUGACAACGACAAUGGCACCUCGACGGCACGCUUGUCACCGGUAGAAACGGCGUUGUGAGAAGCUGCUGAUCGUGGGUGAAGCGACGUGGGAGUGAUGGGCAGUUGCUGCAGCGUAGGGCAUUGUUGAGAGGGAAGAACGUGGGCAGUUGCGGUUGCUGCGGCGCUGAGGCACAAAAACUGCCUAGGGCUGCUGUUGAAAAUUGUUAGGGCUAGGUAUUGGGCCAGUGUUGGAUUAUUGUAUUUGGGCCGAUGGGUUUCCGUUUGAUGUAAUCUGGGCUUUAGUUUUAGUUGGGCCCGGGUAAAAAUUGGGUAUUACAGCAUCGCCAACACCUAGCAAAACAAAGCAAGAAGCAAAAAAUAUAAAAACAGUAAAAAACAGCAGCCAAAAAGAAAGAAGAGAAGAAAGAAAAGAAAAAAGAGAAGAAAGAAAAGAGAGAGAGAGGAAGAGAAGGGGGCGCGCCGGCCACCGCACCACCGGGCAGAGGGAGCGUCGUUGACGGCACAAAAGGGCAAGGUUCAGCCCGAAGAAGAAAAAGAAAAAAAAGAAAGAAGAAAAAAAAGGAAGAAAAAAGAAGAAAAAUAGAAAAAAUAUCACAGUCGGGUCAACCCGACCCGACCGACUCGACCCAGCUCGCAGAACCGACCCGACCCGUUGCAGAAACCCAAAACAACAACUCAAAAAAAACAGCAGCAGCCCUCCCCAGCAGUAGGCCAACAGCAGAACAGGCCCAAUCCAGCAGGCCAGGCAGCCAACAGGCCAACCAGCAGCAGGCCCGUUCCAGCGCCAGCAGGCCCCAAGCCCGUUCCAGCAGCAGGCCAGCAUCCAGCCCAGUAGCCCAAUCUGCAAAAAAAAAAGAGAAAAAGAAAAAAAUAAAAAAGAAAAGGCCCAAAAAAUUUGAGAAGCCCAUAACUUUGGGCUUUUGAUUUUUAAUUAUAAUUUUGAUCAUCUUCCAAAAGAGGGAACUCGUUUUUGAAAACCCUAAGCAGAAGGAAGAAAUCGAAGUGAGGUGUGCCACCGCCUUUGCUCCGCCGCCAGCCAUGAAGUUCAAUAUCGCCAACCUCCAAUACGGGAUGCCAGAAGAAGCUAGAAAUCGACGAUGACCAGAAACUCAAGGGGCAUGCAAAUAUGGAACCUCUUUUCAACAGCUUGACCUUGCAGCAAUACAUUCUUUUAUGCUCACAGGCAGAUGACAGAUAUUGAUAAGUCGAAGGAUGCUUUACUAAAAUCUCAGAAAUCAAAAGAGGUAUGUUAAAAAAUUUCUCAUUUGGAAGGCGUGAUGUGAACCUCUUGUUGGCGACAUUAUGUACUCGUACCAUUCAAACCCGUGAAGGAAGCAUAGUUAAAGCUCUUGAUUGUAAUGCUGCUAUGGCUAGUCGGGAUGCAUUGGCAAAGACAGUUUAUGCUCGAUUGUUUGAUUGGCUUGUUGAUAAGAUUAAUAUAUCUGUGGGGCAAGAUCCAAAUUCCCAUGUGCAAAUUGGAGUUUUGGACAUCUAUGGAUUUGAAUGCUUUAAGCAUA